rnacentral:lncRNA from 1 species
GAGCGUCCGUGGAAUCCAAGAAGCUUUCCUCCAUUUUUACCCUCGAGCAUGAGUUGAUUUCCAGAUGAAUUCGUCUCACCGAAUAUCGGAGAGGUUCUUCCGUAAGAGGUUUUGAAGAAUAGCGAUUUGAUCAGCACUGCCUUGUAGAGGUCAACAUGAUCGUAGCUUCCACCAACGGAUGUGAUACAUUCGUACGGAUAAUCCACCGCAAACUGUAUUUCAAUUUUUUUCCAUCAAAAACAAACAAUUUAUAAACGGGUGGAUAAAUAAUUAAGAACCAAUUGAAGAAAAACAAAGUCAAGUAGGCUAUUUUUAUUACCUCUUUCAGUUCCCCGCGAAUCGUCCCGUGUUCACGGGUUUCAAUUUUUUUGUUCUUUUCAUAUUCGAUCUUGAUAUAAGACACACAGCCAAGAUCUUUUCCAACAAUUAUUUUCUUCACACCGUCGAAAACACCAUCGUCGAAUGCAACUCCCAUGUUACCACCCAUUGCUUCAAUUUUUUCGGGUGCCGGAACUGACCAAAAAUAUGCACCAAUGGCAUCAAUAGCCUGACCAGAGCGUCCAUGGAGCCCAAGAAGCUUUCCUCCUUUUUUACCCUCGAGCAAGAAUUCUUUCCCAGCUACAUUUCCAGAUGAACCGAAUAUUGGAGAGGUUCUUCCAUAAGAAGUCUUAAAGAACAGCGAUUCGAUCAGCACUGCUUUAUAGAGGUUAACAUGACCGUAGCUUCCACCAACAGAUGUGAUACAUUCAUUCGGAUAGUCCACGGCAAACUGGAUUUCAUUUUCCAUUAGAAACAAGCAAUUUAUAUAUAUAUAUCUUUAUACACAUUUUAAAAGAGUUGGAAAGAAGAAUAGCAAAUUCACGUUAUCUAUAUUACCUCUUUUAGUUCUCCGCGAAUCGUCCCGUGUUCACGGGUUUCAGUUUUUCCGUCCUUUACGUAUUCGAUCUUGAUAUAAGAGACACAAUCAAGGUCUUUUCCGACAAUUAUUUUCUUCACACUGUCGAAAACACCAUCGUCAAAUGCAUCUCCCAUGUUACCACCCAUUGCUUCCCGCUUUUCGGGUACGGGUGCGGGGAAUGGCCAAAAAUAUGCACCAAUGGCAUCAAUAGCCUGACCAGAGCGUCCGUGGAACCCAAGAAGCUUUCCUCCAUUUCUACCCUCGAGCAAAAAUUCUUUCCCAGAGGAAUUCGUCUCACCGAAUAUUGGAGAGGUUCUUCCAUAAGAGGUUUUGAAGAAUAGCGAUUUGAUCAGCACUGCCUUAUAGAGGUCAACAUGAUCGUAGCUUCCACCAACGGCUAUGACACAUUCUUUCGGAUAAUCCACCGCAAACU